CCACCGCGGUUAAACGAGAGGCCCUAGUUGAUAAAACCACGGCGUAAAGGGUGGUUAAGGAGAGCAAGAUGAUUUUUAAAGCCAAAUGUCCCUUUGGCCGUCAUACGCUUCUAGGUGUCCGAAGCCCAAUCUAUAAUACGAAAGUAGCUUUAAUAAAGCCCACCUGACCCCACGAAAGCUGAGAAACAAACUGGGAUUAGAUACCCCACUAUGCUCAGCCAUAAACCUAGACAUCCAACUACAAUUAGAUGUCCGCCCGGGUACUACGAGCAUUAGCUUGAAACCCAAAGGACCUGACGGUGCCUCAGACCCCCCUAGAGGAGCCUGUUCUAGAACCGAUAAUCCCCGUUAAACCUCACCACUUCUAGCCAUCCCAGCCUAUAUACCGCCGUCGUCAGCUUACCCUGUGAAGGUAAUAAAAGUAAGCAAAAUGGGCACAACCCAAAACGUCAGGUCGAGGUGUAGCGUACGAAGUGGGAAGAAAUGGGCUACAUUUUCUAUCACAGAACACUACGAACAUGCAACAUGAAAUAGUGCUUGAAGGAGGAUUUAGUAGUAAAAAGGAAGCAGAGUGUCCUUUUGAACCCGGCUCUGAGACGCGUACACACCGCCCGUCACUCUCCCCUGUCGAAAUGCAACAAAGAUACUUAACACUAAAGCACUGACAAGGGGAGACAAGUCGUAACAUG
rnacentral:rRNA from 1 species